CCUGGAGAGAGAAGGUCUACAUAAAGUAAACACAGAGAAAUCUUGUAUUCCUGAAUUUGAUCCUAGAUGUAAAGAUACGGGCGGAAUUUCUUCCAACAUGUACAGAAUAAUUAUCAGGAGUAGUGUUGAGGCCCCAGAUGUGACAAUAGCUGCUGAAAACAUUUCUGAAUAUCAG